rnacentral:rRNA from 1 species
CACCGGUAAAUUCGCGAUGCAUCUAGAUUAGAGUUUGAUCAUGGCUCAGAUUGAACGCUGGCGGCAGGCCUAACACAUGCAAGUCGAGCGGUAGCACAGAGAGCUUGCUCUCGGGUGACGAGCGGCGGACGGGUGAGUAAUGUCUGGGAAACUGCCUGAUGGAGGGGGAUAACUACUGGAAACGGUAGCUAAUACCGCAUAAUGUCGCAAGACCAAAGUGGGGGACCUUCGGGCCUCAUGCCAUCAGAUGUGCCCAGAUGGGAUUAGCUAGUAGGUGGGGUAACGGCUCACCUAGGCGACGAUCCCUAGCUGGUCUGAGAGGAUGACCAGCCACACUGGAACUGAGACACGGUCCAGACUCCUACGGGAGGCAGCAGUGGGGAAUAUUGCACAAUGGGCGCAAGCCUGAUGCAGCCAUGCCGCGUGUGUGAAGAAGGCCUUCGGGUUGUAAAGCACUUUCAGCGGGGAGGAAGGCGGUGAGGUUAAUAACCUCAUCGAUUGACGUUACCCGCAGAAGAAGCACCGGCUAACUCCGUGCCAGCAGCCGCGGUAAUACGGAGGGUGCAAGCGUUAAUCGGAAUUACUGGGCGUAAAGCGCACGCAGGCGGUCUGUCAAGUCGGAUGUGAAAUCCCCGGGCUCAACCUGGGAACUGCAUUCGAAACUGGCAGGCUAGAGUCUUGUAGAGGGGGGUAGAAUUCCAGGUGUAGCGGUGAAAUGCGUAGAGAUCUGGAGGAAUACCGGUGGCGAAGGCGGCCCCCUGGACAAAGACUGACGCUCAGGUGCGAAAGCGUGGGGAGCAAACAGGAUUAGAUACCCUGGUAGUCCACGCUGUAAACGAUGUCGAUUUGGAGGUUGUGCCCUUGAGGCGUGGCUUCCGGAGCUAACGCGUUAAAUCGACCGCCUGGGGAGUACGGCCGCAAGGUUAAAACUCAAAUGAAUUGACGGGGGCCCGCACAAGCGGUGGAGCAUGGUGGUUUAAUUCGAUGCAACGCGAAGAACCUUACCUGGUCUUGACAUCCACAGAACUUUCCAGAGAUGGAUUGGUGCCUUCGGGAACUGUGAGACAGGUGCUGCAUGGCUGUCGUCAGCUCGUGUUGUGAAAUGUUGGGUUAAGUCCCGCAACGAGCGCAACCCUUAUCCUUUGUUGCCAGCGGUUAGGCCGGGAACUCAAAGGAGACUGCCAGUGAUAAACUGGAGGAAGGUGGGGAUGACGUCAAGUCAUCAUGGCCCUUACGACCAGGGCUACACACGUGCUACAAUGGCAUAUACAAAGAGAAGCGACCUCGCGAGAGCAAGCGGACCUCAUAAAGUAUGUCGUAGUCCGGAUUGGAGUCUGCAACUCGACUCCAUGAAGUCGGAAUCGCUAGUAAUCGUAGAUCAGAAUGCUACGGUGAAUACGUUCCCGGGCCUUGUACACACCGCCCGUCACACCAUGGGAGUGGGUUGCAAAAGAAGUAGGUAGCUUAACCUUCGGGAGGGCGCUUACCACUUUGUGAUUCAUGACUGGGGUGAAGUCGUAACAAGGUAACCGUAA